rnacentral:rRNA from 1 species
UGGGGAAUUUUGGACAAUGGGCGAAAGCCUGAUCCAGCAAUGCCGCGUGAGUGAAGAAGGCCUUCGGGUUGUAAAGCUCUUUUGUCAGGGAAGAAACGGUGAAAGCUAAUAUCUUUUGCUAAUGACGGUACCUGAAGAAUAAGCACCGGCUAACUACGUGCCAGCAGCCGCGGUAAUACGUAGGGUGCAAGCGUUAAUCGGAAUUACUGGGCGUAAAGCGUGCGCAGGCGGUUAUGCAAGACAGAGGUGAAAUCCCCGGGCUCAACCUGGGAACUGCCUUUGUGACUGCAUAGCUGGAGUGCGGCAGAGGGGGAUGGAAUUCCGCGUGUAGCAGUGAAAUGCGUAGAUAUGCGGAGGAACACCGAUGGCGAAGGCAGCCCCCUGGGAUAACACUGACGCUCAUGCACGAAAGCGUGGGGAGCAAACA